rnacentral:rRNA from 1 species
ACGGAAGGCAGCAGUGGGGAAUAUUGGGCAAUGGGGGAAACCCUGACCCAGCAACGCCGCGUGAAGGAAGAAGGCCUUCGGGUUGUAAACUUCUUUUACCAGGGACGAACAAAUGACGGUACCUGGAGAAAAAGCAACGGCUAACUACGUGCCAGCAGCCGCGGUAAUACGUAGGUGGCGAGCGUUGUCCGGAUUUACUGGGUGUAAAGGGAGCGCAGGCGGGACAGCAAGUUGGAUGUGAAAUACCGAGGCUUAACUUCGGAGCUGCAUCCAAAACUGCCGUUCUUGAGUGAAGUAGAGGUAGGCGGAAUUCCGAGUGUAGCGGUGAAAUGCGUAGAUAUUCGGAGGAACACCGGUGGCGAAGGCGGCCUACUGGGCUUUAACUGACGCUGAGGCUCGAAAGUGUGGGGAGCAAACAGGAUUAGAUACCCUGGUA